AUUGAACGCUGGCGGCAGGCUUAACACAUGCAAGUCGAGCGGAGAUGAGGUGCUUGCACCUUAUCUUAGCGGCGGACGGGUGAGUAAUGCUUAGGAAUCUGCCUAUUAGUGGGGGACAACAUUCCGAAAGGAAUGCUAAUACCGCAUACGCCCUACGGGGGAAAGCAGGGGAUCUUCGGACCUUGCGCUAAUAGAUGAGCCUAAGUCGGAUUAGCUAGUUGGUGGGGUAAAGGCCUACCAAGGCGACGAUCUGUAGCGGGUCUGAGAGGAUGAUCCGCCACACUGGGACUGAGACACGGCCCAGACUCCUACGGGAGGCAGCAGUGGGGAAUAUUGGACAAUGGGCGGAAGCCUGAUCCAGCCAUGCCGCGUGUGUGAAGAAGGCCUUUUGGUUGUAAAGCACUUUAAGCGAGGAGGAGGCUACCUGGAUUAAUACUCUAGGAUAGUGGACGUUACUCGCAGUAUAAGCACCGGCUAACUCUGUGCCAGCCGCCGCAGUAA
rnacentral:rRNA from 1 species